rnacentral:SRP_RNA from 1 species
GCCAGGCAUGGUGGCGCAUGCCUGUAGUCCCAGCUACUCAGGAGGCUGAGGCAGGGGAAUCGCUUGAACCCGGGAGACGGGGGCAGAGGUUGCAGGGAGCCAAGAUCGUGCCACUGCACUCUAGCCCUCUAGCCUGGGCGACAGAGUGACACUCUGUCUCAA